rnacentral:rRNA from 1 species
CCUACGAGUGACAGCAGUGGGGAAUAUUGGGCAAUGGGCGCAAGCCUGACCCAGCAACGCCGCGUGAAGGAAGAAGGCUUUCGGGUGGGAAACUUCUUUUGUCAGGGAAGAGUAGAAGACGGUACCUGACGAAUAAGCCACGGCUAACUACGUGCCAGCAGCCGCGGUCAUACGUAGGUGGCAAGCGUUGUCCGGAUUUACUGGGUGGAACGGGCGUGUAGCCGGGUUGACAAGUCAGAUGUGAAAUCCUGCGGCUUAACCGCAGAACUGCAUUUGAAACUGUUGAUCUUGAGUACUGGAGAGGCAGCUGGAAUGCCUAGUGUAGCGGUGAAAUGCGUAGAUAUUAGGAGGAACACCAGUGGCGAAGGCGGUCUGCUGGACAGCAACUGACGGUGAGGCGCGAAAGCGUGGGGAGCAAACAGGAUUAGAUACCCGUGUAGUC